GCCGGCGUAGCUCAGUGGUAGAGCAGCGGUUUCGUAAACCGCAGGUCAAGGGUUCGAAUCCCCUCGCCGGCUCCA
rnacentral:tRNA from 1 species